rnacentral:lncRNA from 1 species
CCAUCUCACCUCCAUGUUUCUUCCUUCCAAUAGCUCACCCUCCAUCAAUUCUUCUUAUUCUUAAUUUCAAACCCUGUUACCAACAACCCCAAUUCACCCUUCUCCUCAAUUACCAACAGUUCACUUCCAUCAAUUUCUCUUAUUCCCAAUUUCAAGCCCUAAUUCCAAUUUUGGGUUACAAAGACAAACCAAAUACCAAUUCGAGAUUCUUUGUAAAAAAUAUUAGGGUAAUGAGAUUUGAUUUCCAAUUACACAAAAUCUAUAGAGGAGCUUGUCAGAUCUGA